rnacentral:misc_RNA from 1 species
AAGUCGUAACAAGGUAUCCGUAGGUGAACCUGCGGAUGGAUCAUUAGCGAAUGGAACAUUCAUUUGUUCUUUCACAUCCACACAUACACCCUUGUGGUUUAUAGAGAAAGAAAAGGAUUUGCGAGUGUUGGGCGUGUGUUCGCCCGCCCGCCCGCUCGCUCGCAUCCGUCUAUAACAAACAAACCGUUUGAUCUUCUUUUCUAGUAUUUGGCAAUAAUGACACACACACGCGCACACUCGUUGUGCUGCUGCUGUGAUAACCCAAUACAACUGCUAGCAACGGAUCACUCGGCUCUC